rnacentral:rRNA from 1 species
UACGAAGGGUGCAAGCGUUACUCGGAAUUACUGGGCGUAAAGGGUGCGUAGGUGGUCGUUUAAGUCCGUUGUGAAAUCCCUGGGCUCAACCCGGGAACUGCGUCCGAUACUGGCAGGCUUGAAUCCGGGAGAGGGAUGCGGAAUUCCAGGUGUAGCGGUGAAAUGCGUAGAUAUCUGGAGGAACACCGGUGGCGAAGGCGGCAUCCUGGACCGGCAUUGACGCUGAGGCGCGAAAGCCAGGGGAGCAAACAGG